rnacentral:lncRNA from 1 species
GCCCAGCCUGGCAGCCCAGGUCACCUCAAAGCACCAAGAUGUCAAGGAGAGCUGGGCACAGCUCCAGCAGGCACUGAGGUCAGAGAAGGCUCCAGCGCUAGCAAACAUUUCCCCAGGGAGCAAAGCUGUGGCUCUGAAUGUUGAGCCCCGAGGAGAUAAUAGCAGCCAUGGGACUGUGGGAAAGGAAGCAGGAGCCAAGUGGACAAGAGGACUCGGGAGCAUGGUGGCAACAGAUGUGCUGGGGAAGAUGGCAGAGCACAAGAGAGGGGAGGAGAGCAGCCCUUGCUCCCCAGUGGGACAGCCCCCUCAUGGAGGGGACAACAAAAGGAGGAGGAGAGAGGCAGAGACUGAGAGGGGAAUGCAGCAGCUGGAGGU